rnacentral:misc_RNA from 1 species
GAUGAAGAAUGUAGCGAAAUGCGAUAAGUAAUGUGAAUUGCAGAAUUCAGUGAAUCAUCGAAUCUUUGAACGCACCUUGCACCCUUUGGCAUUCUGAAGGGUAUGCUCGUUUGAGUGUCAUUGUACUCUCACACUCCCGAUCUUUGCAUUGGGAGCAGUGGACUUGGGUUUGCUGCUUCACCGUCGCUUACCUCAAAUAGGUUAGUGCAACUCUUGGUUGGACAUAGUACGGCGUGAUAAGUGUUCUUCGCCGGUGCCUCGCAAAGAGGGUGGCCGAUCGGGAUGUUGUGCUCCAAACCGUCUUCGGACAAUCUCUGACGACUUGACCUCAAAUCGAGUAAGACUACCCGCUGAACUUAAGCAUAUCAAUAAGCGGAGGA